CUCUCCCAGCUCCGGCGGAAGGCUCACCCUCCAGCCCGGCUCAUCGGCCGCGCCCACUGCGCGCAGGUCCCCGCUGCCCCUGCCAGGUCCCAGAUGUUAAAGCUCUUUGCCUGCCGUAGCAUGGGCCGACACAGCUGUGCGUGGGUCACAGAGGGCGCGCACACCCAGCCCUUCCCCUGAGCAGACGCUGGCCUCCGCCUGCCCCGCCGGCUCUCCUGCCUCCAGCUGCGGCCCCUGCUCCUCCAGCUGUGCUUAGCUUCCGGAACCUACUCUUCAGGGUUCGUCCUUGCAAAAUUGGAGAAAGGAAGAAGAGGCUUAAGAAAUGGCUGCGUCCCCUUUAAGACCUGCCCUCUUCCUUUUCCUUUUCUUCCCUCCUCCCCUUUCCAUCGGUUCGUACCAAAGUAAAGAGGGAGGAGAGGGGGCAAAGAACCAUCAACGCUGAGCAAAGGAAGGAACUUAAAAGGAGAGGUCAAAAGAGAAGGAGGCCUAGAGAGAGAACUGACACAGUUCUUCAAGGCCGCGGGGAAUGGUGGUGUGUUGGGUUUGGGAGAAGUGGGCUCGUUUCUCAGCCUAACCUGAGCUUCCGCUGUCCCCAGGGGGAUGGCAUCCACUGCUACCAGGAAUGUGGAGGAAAAGGGCAGCGGGCAGUCCCAAGCCACAGACUCUGCAGCCUGCUUGGGUGGAGGUCCGGGAGCUCUGCCUAGCAACUUGACAUCUGGAGGAUGAUCCCAACUCUGGUGCUGCUCUUGGCCUCUCGUGCCCUCUCCCCACUCUGUUCCUCUAGAACAUGCACCAAAGGUCCUCUUUCACAACUCAUUCAACAGUUUGGUUUUGGGGCAAUUCCUGGUCAUGAGCAACAUCACCCCUGAAGCCUCCAAAGGGUUCUGGAACCAUCACACACCUCUUCACCCUCAGCUAGCAAGGACACCACCAGAAAUCAAAAACUUUAAUAAAGUGACAGAGAUCCUUCCCUCC